rnacentral:rRNA from 1 species
AAUAUUAGUCAAUGCUCGUAAGAGUGAACUAGCUAACUGAAAUCAUAUUUGUGUCAAAUGUGAUGUCGUAAGGGAAAAUAAUGAUAUUACCUUACUAAUAGUGUCGUCUAAAACUGGUGCCAGAAGACUCGGUAAGGCCAGAGACACAAAUGUUAAUCGUCUUAAUCAGGCGUAAAGGGUUUGUAGGCUGCUUUGAAAAUAUUAAUUUAAUAUAGCAUUUUAUCUACUUCCAUUAUUUUUCUAUCUCCCCAUAAAUUGGAGGAUAUAUAUCUUUUUUUUAAUGUAGGAGGAGGGAAUAAAUGGUAAUUUAUUUAAUUAGUAAAUUAAUAUCAAUUAAAGCUAGAAUCUAAUAGAGGAUAGUUACGAAAGAAUGCUUGGUCGAGGGCUGAGAUCCGUAGACACUGAGUGGAAUACCAAUGGCGUAAGCAUUUAUCCAUUAAAGAUUGACGCUGAGAAACGAAGGUGAGGAUAGGAAAUAGGAUUAGAUACCCAGAUACCCCUCUCUGUCAACGAUGAAUGGUAGUUGUUAGUAUAUUAAAUGCUAGUGACGAAGUUAACACGUUAACCAUUCCGCCUUGUGAGUACGACUGCAAAGUUGAAAACAAAAAAAUUAGUCGGUCUCGGAGCAAACGAAGUGAAGUAUGUUAUUUAAU